rnacentral:tRNA from 4 species
GGGCCGGUAGCUCAGCGGUAGAGCAGGAGACUUUUAAUCUCUUGGUCCAGGGUUCGAUCCCCUGCCGGCUCACCA